GGUAGUAUGGCCGAGAGCGAGGCGGCGAGCUGUAACUCGCAAAGGGGAGAGCACAAUGCGGGGUCCCUGGCUAUCA
rnacentral:tRNA from 1 species